rnacentral:rRNA from 1 species
UACGGGGGGGGCAAGCGUUGUUCGGAAUUACUGGGCGUAAAGGGCUUGUAGGUGGCCAACUAAGUCAGACGUGAAAUCCCUCGGCUUAACCGGGGAACUGCGUCUGAUACUGGAUGGCUUGAGAUUGGGAGAGGGAUGCGGAAUUCCAGGUGUAGCGGUGAAAUGCGUAGAUAUCUGGAGGAAUACCGGUGGCGAAGGCGGCAUCCUGGACCGACAUUGACGCUGAACGGCGAAAGCUAGGGGAGCAAACGGG